rnacentral:rRNA from 1 species
AUUGAACGCUGGCGGCAUGCCUUACACAUGCAAGUCGAACGGCAGCGGGGGAGAAGCUUGCUUUUCCUGCCGGCGAGUGGCGAACGGGUGAGUAAUACAUCGGAACGUGCCCUGUAGUGGGGGAUAACUAGUCGAAAGAUUAGCUAAUACCGCAUACGACCUGAGGGUGAAAGUGGGGGACCGCAAGGCCUCAUGCUAUAGGAGCGGCCGAUGUCUGAUUAGCUAGUUGGUGGGGUAAGGGCCUACCAAGGCGACGAUCAGUAGCUGGUCUGAGAGGACGUGCAGCCACACUGGGACUGAGCCACGGCCCAGACUCCUACGGGAGGCAGCAGUGGGGAAUUUUGGAAAAUGGGCGAAAGCCUGAUCCAGCAAUGCCGCGUGUGUGAAGAAGGCCUUCGGGUUGUAAAGCACUUUUGUCCGGAAAGAAAUGGCUCUGGUUAAUACCUGGGGUCGAUGACGGUACCGGAAGAAUAAGGACCGGCUAACUACGUGCCAGCCGCCGCCCGUAA